AGAAGAGGGUGGCAGAUGCCCUGGAACUAAAGUGACAGAUGGUUAUGAGCUGUCAUGUUCACCAUGCUGGGUAUUGAAACUUGGCUCAUAAUCACUGAGCCAUCUCUUCAGCUCCCCUGCCCCAAAGCAAUAAAGUUUGAGUUUAUUAAAAGAUUAUUUAUUUGGUUGUUUUUUUUUUUUUCAGACAGGGUUUCACUGUGUGUCUCUGGCUGAUUUUGUAUUCACUCUAUAGACCAGGCUGGUCUUGAAUUCAGAUUGUGGGUAAAUCUGAAUUAAAGGCGUGUGCCACCACUGCCUGGCUAAAAGAUAUUUUAAGCAUAGAUCAUAGCACAAGGGUUAAGAGGCACUCGGAGAGCACAAGAUGUAUGCAACUCAGAGUUGCCUGAAUUAGGUUUUUUUAAAUUUAUUUACUGUAGGUGAAUAUACUGUUGCUGUCUUCAGACACACCAGAAGAGGGCGUCGGAUCCCAUUACAGAUAGCUGUGAGCCACCAUGUGGUUGCUGGGAAUUGAACUCAGGACCUGUGGAGGAGCAGUCAGUGCUCCAUCUCUCCAACCCAUAGGGUUUUUAAAUUUUAAAUUACUUAUGUGUGUCUCCCGGCACUUGGAAGGCAGAUUUUUGAGAGUCCGAGACUAGCUUAGUCUACAAAGUGAGUUUCAGGUCCACAGCUCUUCCACAGAGAAACUCGUCCUGAAAAUUUCCCCCAACCCUGCCACUAACACACACGCACAUGCACGCACACACACACCCCCUUUGUAAAUGAGUUUUCUGCCGGCAUGUAUGUAUGUGUGGACACCAGAAGGGAGCGCCAGAUCCCAGUAUAGAUGAUCGUUAGAAAUUGAAAUCGGGACAUCUGGAAGAUUAGCCCAUGUACUAAAGCUCUCCAGAGGCCUGAGUUGAGUCUUUAAUACUUGUUAUACUGGUCAUGAAGUUACUUUUGGGGUGGUUUUUUAUAUUGUUUUAAGUUCACAUCUUUUUUUGUAUUUGUGGGAGCCUGUACAGGCCGUCAGUCGCUCUGGAGCUGAAGUGAAGGUGCCUCUGUACAUACCUAACAUGUUGGGAAGCAAACUCGAGCGCUAGGAAAGACCAAGUGCUUUUUAACCAUUAAGCCGUCUCUCCAGCCUUGAUUCUGGCCUUUUUACCUCCGUAUUGUGCAAGAAUGAAGCCACACAUUGGGAUGGGUGUGGUGGUACACUCAUGAUCCCAGCACUCAAGAGGCAGAAGCAGAUGUAGGAGGGUCAAGUUUGGGGUCAGCCUGGGCUAUACUAGCGAGACCCUGUCACAAGAGACAAAGGGAAAGUUCCUAUGUCUGUGGAAGUUACCUUUAGCUUUUCCUGUGCGCAGUAAUAGUCUGUAUUUAGUUGUUCCGGCUCCCUUACUCUGUUAAACUGUACAGAGCCUUCACAAUUUUGGCCCUGCUGUAAUCAUUUUGUUUUAAUUAUUUUAUUUUUUGAGAUUAUAAUUACAUCCAUUUCCUCCCACCAAGUCCUAUCCCUCUUUGUUUUCUCAAAUUCAUGAGCUCUAUCCAUUCACUUGCAUACUCCUAAAUACAUAAAUACAGCCUGCCCAAUGUUUGCAAUGUCACUUGAGUGUAUGUUUUUAGGGCUGACCAUCAGUUGGUUUUGUCCUUCAGUGCUUUAGCUAGAAUGUUGUGAACCUACUGCCACCAUUGAUGCCAUUAUCAGAGAGCCUCUCAGCUCAUGUGGGUGACUUCCAUCCUUUGAAGUGUUCCUUCCAUCUGUCAGUGUUGAACCCUGUGUCGUCUUGGCCCAGAUCUCUUCCCCUGGUUGAAGAUGGAGUGGUCUCCAUGCCUUAGCAGCAUGUCUACUUCAGCCAGGCUGGGCCGUAGCCUCUUCCCCACCCCUCAACUCUUGACAUACCUCCUGCUUGUUUCUGAACUUCUUUAGCCUCGCCCAGGCCUCUGAGCUUUGGUAGGCCUUCUCAUUUCCUCCCCACUUCUCCCCUGGGUGAGCACCUGUACACACUGCCCGUGUACAGACCUGCCUUCUCUGGGGAAGCAGAGAAGCAAAAAGUCCUGUGCUGAUGUGAGCUCUACCUCUGGAGAUGUCAGGCAAAAUGGCUGAUGUCAGUUCUGGUCACAGUGAAAAGCAAGAGAUGGAAGGUAGGUGGUCAGGACUGCUUGCUAAGGACCACAGAGCAAGACAAGUGUGGCCAGAGUUGUGAGUGACUGAGAAGACAGACCCUGCUCUGAGUCUGGGGCAGAAUUGGCCAGAAAUCACACAGAAGAGGAAGGCCCAUGAAGGCUUCAGAGUGGAAGCAGGGCUGUCUGAAAGCUGUAAGCUCCCGGCUCUUGCCAGGAGACCCUCUGAAGGCUGGAAGGACGCCCUGGGGAGAUGGCAGCACUGAACUCUCCUGUCCUUCACCUGUUUCAGUGAACCCUCAGAGGGCAAAUGAAGGGAGAGCAUUGCCCAGAGCAAGGUUUUAGGGAACAUGCCUAGCCACAGUUCUCUGCCUUUCAGUGUGGGCACAUUUAAAUGAAAGACCAUGGCAGGUCCCCAACCACUCCCCACAAUGCACUCCACCCCAUGCUUCUCUAGCUUGUAAACGGGGGUGGGGGGAUGGUGCUGCUGCUGCCUCAGUGGACACAUUCCACAGUGUGGAACCUGUGAAAGCUGUAGGGCCUCCACUCCUUGCUUUCUGUGCCUUGACCUAUGACCUGGUAAGCUAAGUUUUUCAGAGCAUGCACAAGCCCAAGCUAUGGCCAUCAUUACUCCCAGGCACUGAUAAAAGUGUCUAGACUAUUGCUUAAAACACUGAAGGAAGCUGACCCUUUGACCCUGAGCCGAACUCCUUAAAGUCCAAAGUUUGCUACAUUCCAGGACUCCAUUUCCAAAGAACCAGGAGCCACCUUUCCCUCCCGGUCUGUUCCAAGGGUGCCUCGAUGUUCUAUAAGCAACUCUCCCCACAGAGAGAUGCUCCUGUCCGUUUCUCAGGGCAGGCGGUGCUUCUGUUUUUGCCCUCCUAUCUACGGAAAGUUGGGAGCAAAGGCUUGUGGGAAUUGCCACUGUUUUGAGGAUGACUCCAUUUGAAAGUCCAGCAGUGACCCACCAGAGUUUCAGUUGCCACUGGGACACUCGACUCUAAAGUGGAGGUACUUUGAGUGGGAAGACAGGGUCCUGCAGCCAUCGCAAAGCUGCCUUGCUGUGUGGGUGCGCUUGUUGUGGCCACCUUCCAUAUGUGCUUGCUGGCUGAAGAGUCAGCAGAAACUGCUUGUACUAUAUCACAGGAGUGGGGGUGCGAGUGCCUCAUGCAGUUGGAGCCAUCAGCACACAAGGAGAAGAGAGCACACUUCUCAUACAGGAAUUACUAGAGCAGAGUACACUGAUAAGAUCCAGUGUUAAGAACCUGUCACCAGCCUGAGUGGGGAACAAAGGUUUCUAGUGUGUGGUAACUCGUGGUUACCCAGUAAGAUUAAAACAAAGCAGGUGUUUUAGAGAAUCCCAUUGAAGGCAUUAAUGAAGGGAUUUCCUAGGUUCUUUUCUUUAUAUUAGAACUGGUAAUCAUAAUAAUUACUUUUCUUGUUGGGCCCAAAAUACUUGCAAGAUCUCUCUCUGCCCCUAAUGCAGGCGCUUAUAUUCACAGACCUCCACACAGUGUCUGAUUGUAUAAAUACAUACAACUAGAUAAUAAUAAAGGCUUAGUUAGGGUUUUGACGCGGUGAACAGACACUAUGACCAAGGCAACUCUUAUACAGGAAAACAUUGGGGCUGGCUUAUAGUUUCAGUCCAUUGUCACCUUGGCAGGAAGCAUGGCAGCAUGCAGGCAGACAUGGUGCUGAAGGAGCCAAGAGUUCUACAUCUUGAUUCAUAGGCAGCAGGAGGGGACUGUCCUCCACAUGCAGCCAGGAGGUGGCUCUGAUUUCACACUGGGCAGAGCUUGAGCAUAGGAGACAUCAAAGCUCUCUUACACAGUGAAACACUUCCUCCACAAGACCAAACCUUGUAAUAGUGCCACUCCUUAUGGCCAAGCAUUGAAACACAUGAGUCUAUAGGGGCCAAAUCUAUUCAAACCACCACAAAAGCCAGUCAGGCAACAUAGAAAUCA
rnacentral:lncRNA from 1 species